UAUAACUGCACAUAAACUGUACUAAAUUGGAUUGAUACAGAGAAGAUUAACAUAGCUCCUGCUAAAGGAUGACACGCAAAUCCGUGACAGUAAUGCAACCUCU